CCCAGAGUGAAGACGGAACUUUCAAAUUCGAAUUCGAGGGCGACAAUGGGAUCGUCGUCUCUGGAUCUGGAUCCGCAACAGGAACAAACGGGGCUCCGUAGUACAGACGGGAAGUUACAAGUACACCGCCCCCGACGGAACUCCCGUUGAUGUGACGUACGUGGCCGAUGAAAAAGGGUUCCAGCCUCAGUCAGACAGUCUUCCCAAGGCUCCCGAAUUCCCCCACCCGAUUCCUCAGUUCGUCCUCGACCAGAUCGCCUUCGCUGCCGAGGAGGAUGCAGCUGCUGCAGGUUCUGCGACUGCUGAGACUAAGUCUUCUUCUCCCAAUUUAUAUCAAACCCCUCAAGCAUAAUGCAGUACCUCAGAGAAGAACACUUGUGCUACUGUGCAGAACGGCCUUUCCUUGAAUCACAAUAGGAAUUUGAGAACAAACGUUCAACUCAUUAUAUUAUCAUUAUUAUUUAACUUAUCAGUGUUUCAAUAAUUGCAUAUCUGAAUAGAAAUGAUAAUGAAUAAUAAACUCCAAUAAGAA